UACGGGGGGGGCAAGCGUUGCUCGGAAUCACUGGGCGUAAAGGGUGCGUAGGCGGGUCUUUAAGUCAGGGGUGAAAUCCUGGAGCUCAACUCCAGAACUGCCUUUGAUACUGAAGAUCUUGAGUUCGGGAGAGGUGAGUGGAACUGCGAGUGUAGAGGUGAAAUUCGUAGAUAUUCGCAAGAACACCAGUGGCGAAGGCGGCUCACUGGCCCGAUUACUGACGCUGAGGCGCGAAAGCUAGGGGAGCAAACGGG
rnacentral:rRNA from 1 species